rnacentral:tRNA from 1 species
GGGCCGGUAGCUCAGUUGGUCAGAGCAGCGGACUCAUAAUCCGUCGGUCGGAGGUUCGAGUCCUCCCCGGCCCA